rnacentral:rRNA from 1 species
GAGGUUUAGUCCUGGAAGGGUUUUACCUUGAAAGAUUUCGCCUAAGGAUGAGGCUGCGGCUGAUUAGCUUGUUGGUGGGGUAACUGCCUACCAAGGCGAUGAUCAGUACGGGCUCUUAGCGGAGUUGCCCGGAGAAGGAAUCUGAGACACUAUUCCUAGCUCUACGGAGUGCAGCAGGGGCGAAUCAUUUACAAUGCACGCAAGUGUGAUAAUGCGAACCAAAAUGCGUUUCGUUUAGAAACGCUUUUCUUCACCGUAAAAACGUGGAGGAAUAAGGACUGGGAAAGACCGGUGCCAGCCGCCGCGGUAAUACCGGCAGUUCAAGUCGCAUCCACUUUUAUUGGGUCUAAAACAUCCGUAGCUUGCUAUUUAAGUCCCUUGUGAAAUCUCACGUCUCAAGCGUGAGGCUUGCGGGGGAUACUGGAUAGCUAGAGAUCGGUAGGCGUAAGGAGUACGCGGGAGGUAACGGUAAAAUGUGUUAAUCUUCCGUGGACUAACGAUUUAGCGAAGGCACCUUACGAGGACGAAUCUGACAGUCAGGGAUGAAGGCCAGGGGCGCAAAACGGAUUAGAUACCUGUGUAGUCCUGGCAGUAAACACUGCUCACUAAACAUCGGGCCCUCUUCGGGAGGAUUCGGUGCUGAAGGGAAG